CAGGUACUCCCUCCGUUCGGAAUUACUUGUCAUAAAAAUGGAUGUAUCUAUAACUAAAAUACAUCUAAAUACAUUUAUUUCUUGGACGAGUAAUUCCGAACGGAGGGAGUACCUG
rnacentral:pre_miRNA from 1 species